CGGAGGGUGCAAGCGUUAUCCGGAUUCACUGGGUUUAAAGGGUGCGUAGGUGGGUCUGUAAGUCCGAGGUGAAAUCUCCGAGCUUAACUUGGAAACUGCCAUGGAUACUAUAGAUCUUGAAUACUGUGGAGGUUAGCGGAAUAUGUCAUGUAGCGGUGAAAUGCUUAGAUAUGACAUAGAACACCAAUUGCGAAGGCAGCUGGCUACACAAAUAUUGACACUGAUGCACGAAAGCGUGGGGAUCAAACAGGAUUAGAUACCCUGGUAGUCCACGCCCUAAACGAUGGAUACUCGACAUUUGCGAUACACUGCAAGUGUCUGAGCGAAAGCAUUAAGUAUCCCACCUGGGAAGUACGAUCGCAAGAUUG
rnacentral:rRNA from 1 species